UGCGAGCGUGACGGCGCGAGCAGGUGCGAAAGCAGGUCAUAGUGAUCCGGUGGUUCUGAAUGGAAGGGCCAUCGCUCAACGGAUAAAAGGUACUCCGGGGAUAACAGGCUGAUACCGCCCAAGAGUUCAUAUCGACGGCGGUGUUUGGCACCUCGAUGUCGGCUCAUCACAUCCUGGGGCUGAAGUAGGUCCCAAGGGUAUGGCUGUUCGCCAUUUAAAGUGGUACGCGAGCUGGGUUUAGAACGUCGUGAGACAGUUCGGUCCCUAUCUGCCGUGGGCGCUGGAGAACUGAGGGGGGCUGCUCCUAGUACGAGAGGACCGGAGUGGACGCAUCACUGGUGUUCGGGUUGUCAUGCCAAUGGCACUGCCCGGUAGCUAAAUGCGGAAGAGAUAAGUGCUGAAAGCAUCUAAGCACGAAACUUGCCCCGAGAUGAGUUCUCCCUGACCCUUUAAGGGUCCUGAAGGAACGUUGAAGACGACGACGUUGAUAGGCCGGGUGUGUAAGCGCAGCGAUGCGUUGAGCUAACCGGUACUAAUGAACCGUGAGGCUUAACCUUACAACGCCGAAGGUGUUU
rnacentral:rRNA from 1 species